GACGAACGCUGGCGGCGUGCUUAACACAUGCAAGUCGAACGGAAAGGCCCUGCUUUUGUGGGGUGCUCGAGUGGCGAACGGGUGAGUAACACGUGAGUAACCUGCCCUUGACUUUGGGAUAACUUCAGGAAACUGGGGCUAAUACCGGACAGGAGCUCCCGCUGCAUGGUGGGGGUUGGAAAGUUUCGGCGGUUGGGGAUGGACGCGCGGCUUAUCAGCUUGUUGGUGGGGUAGUGGCUUACCAAGGCUUUGACGGGUAGCCGGCCUGAGAGGGUGACCGGCCACAUUGGGACUGAGAUACGGCCCAGAGUCCUACGGGAGGCAGCAGUGGGGAAUAUUGCACAAUGGGCGGAAGCCUGAUGCAGCAACGCCGCGUGCGGGAUGACGGCCUUCGGGUUGUAAACCGCUUUCGCCUGUGACGAAGCGUGAGUGACGGUAAUGGGUAAAGAAGCACCGGCUAACUACGUG
rnacentral:rRNA from 1 species